rnacentral:pre_miRNA from 1 species
GCGAGACGAGAGCGAGCGUCGCCUAGGUCUUUCCCCCGCUGCGAUUCAGAAGACACGAAUGGCAGUGUAGGAAAUAUCUUACUAAAAUCGGCGAAAAGCGUGGGCGUCAGUUUGCA